rnacentral:rRNA from 1 species
GAAUUGAUCUAGUUCAGGAUGAACGCUAGCUACAGGCUAACACAUGCAAGUCAGGGGCAGCAGAUCGAAAGCUUGCUUUGAUGCUGGCGACCGGCGCACGGGUGAGUAACGCGUAUCCAACCUCCCUAUAGUAGAGAAUAGCCCGGCGAAAGUCGGAUUAAUGCUCUAUGUUGUAUUUAGAGGACAUCUGAAGAAUACCAAAGGUUUACCGCUAUAGGAUGGGGAUGCGUCUGAUUAGGUAGUAGGCGGGGUAACGGCCCACCUAGCCGACGAUCAGUAGGGGUUCUGAGAGGAAGGUCCCCCACAUUGGAACUGAGACACGGUCCAAACUCCUACGGGAGGCAGCAGUGAGGAAUAUUGGUCAAUGGACGGAAGUCUGAACCAGCCAAAAGUAGCGUGCAGGAUGACGGCCCUAUGGGUUGUAAACUGCUUUUAUAUAGGGAUAAAGUCGGGGACGUGUCCCCGUUUGUAGGUACUAUAUGAAUAAGGACCGGCUAAUUCCGUGCCAGCCGCCGC